GACGAACGCUGGCGGCGUGCCUAAUACAUGCAGGUAGAACGCUGAAGCUUGGUGCUUGCACCGAGCGGAUGAGUUGCGAACGGGUGAGUAACGCGUAGGUAACCUGCCUGGUAGCGGGGGAUAACUAUUGGAAACGAUAGCUAAUACCGCAUAAGAGUAGAUGUUGCAUGACAUUUGCUUAAAAGGUGCAAUUGCAUCACUACCAGAUGGACCUGCGUUGUAUUAGCUAGUUGGUGAGGUAACGGCUCACCAAGGCAACGAUACAUAGCCGACCUGAGAGGGUGAUCGGCCACACUGGGACUGAGACACGGCCCAGACUCCUACGGGAGGCAGCAGUAGGGAAUCUUCGGCAAUGGACGGAAGUCUGACCGAGCAACGCCGCGUGAGUGAAGAAGGUUUUCGGAUCGUAAAGCUCUGUUGUAAGAGAAGAACGAGUGUGAGAGUGGAAAGUUCACACUGUGACGGUAUCUUACCAGAAAGGGGCGGCUAACUACGUG
rnacentral:rRNA from 1 species